GACGGGGGGGGCAAGUGUUCUUCGGAAUUAUUGGGCGUAAAGAGCUCGUAGGCGGUCUGUCGCGUCUGCUGUGAAAACUCGGGGCUUAACCCCGGGCCUGCAGUGGGUACGGGCAGACUAGAGUGCGGUAGGGGAGACUGGAAUUCCUGGUGUAGCGGUGAAAUGUGCAGAUAUCAGGAGGAACACCGGUGGCGAAGGCGGGUCUCUGGGCCGUAACUGACGCUGGAGGAGCGAAAGCAUGGGGAGCGAACAGG
rnacentral:rRNA from 1 species